rnacentral:rRNA from 1 species
UGAGUAACACGUAUCCAACCUGCCGUCUACUCUUGGACAGCCUUCUGAAAGGAAGAUUAAUACAAGAUGGCAUCAUGAGUCCGCAUGUUCACAUGAUUAAAGGUAUUCCGGUAGACGAUGGGGAUGCGUUCCAUUAGAUAGUAGGCGGGGUAACGGCCCACCUAGUCUUCGAUGGAUAGGGGUUCUGAGAGGAAGGUUCCCCACAUUGGAACUGAGACACGGUCCAA